UUUAUGGUCAAAGCCAAGUGUGUUCAGUAUUAAAAGAACCAUGUUUUUUCUUAAAAUGUGGCCCCUGAAUGCAGGCCACAUUUCAUGUGGUGUGCAAUGAAGAGACAGCGAUCUGAGCUGGCUGCAGAAUUGACCGUAAGGGCAUUAGUGAGAAGUGUGUGUGCUCACGGGGGCUUCCUACUUGUUCCCUAUUUUAUGGGUAAUGUUUGGGAUAUAUAAAGGGAAGGUUUGUCUGUGCAUAAUGAGCUGAUGUUAAAAUGCAGUGUUAUAAAGAUGCACCUCACUUCUUUAUUUGAUUUCCAUAUUAACUUACUCUCUUAGGAGGGUCUGCAUUGUGGUCACUGUUUCCCCGCUAUUCUUCUCUAAUAUUAACUUUCAUGCUAGAUAUUUUGCUAUUUGGAGAAGACAACAGUGCAAGAGAUAAUCAGUAUAACUUUUAUCUUUGCUAGGAGCCACAGAAGCCUAUGUAGAAAAAGUCCAAAUGUGAGCCCGUGACUCCGGAGGAGGAAACUCAACUACAGACUGUGUAUGUCUUCUGUCCUCUGGACAGCUACAACCAUCCUGUGGCCUCGCCCUGAGCCUUCAGAGCCGUCCCCUACUCUACCACAGGGAAGUUUUUUCUAAAAUGCAAGUAUUAUUGUUUGACAGCCCUGCUUAAAAGCUUUCAGUGACUUUUUAUUUUCUGUGGACUAUAUCACAAGGUUUAUAGCAUUAAGAAGCUUCAUAUUCUUUUCCUCCAACCUUAUCUCUUAUGACUUCCCUUUAUUAGUUCUAGCUUCAUGGAAUUUUUAUAAUUCAUGUCUAAGCUUUCUUACACAUGCCUGACAAACCACUGCUCUACCUUCCAGAGGCAAAAUCAGGAAUUUUUUUCAUCUUUGGAAGCCCAGUCCUCAUAGCCAUACCUCCUAAUUCCAAAAAGUUGAAUCCUCCUUCGUCUGUAUGAGGAAUGCCUCUUACUCAGCAGCAGGUGGACACGGCCGUGGGUCAAGACGCUCUGCCUCAUGGAGAAGCCUGGUUUGUCGUUGCCACCACUAAGUCAGACCGUGUAACCCUUCCGUUCUUCACCCACAGCAUCAGCAGCAACUUCUGUGGCCAUUCGCUUCUUACAAAAGCUACGGGGUUUGCAUUCAUCAUCCACAUUGAUGAGUUUCUGGUAGCCAGUAGCUGGAAAAGAGUUGUUCAGCUUCUUCCCAAAGCAGCCUGCCGCCU